AAGCUUCGGCGUCAGGCGCGUUGCCGCCCGUACCCCAAACCGACACUGGUGGUCAGGUAGAGAAUACCAAAGCGAUCGAGCGAAUCCUGGUCAAGGAACUCGGCAAAUUGCUCCCGUGCCUUCGGCAUAAGGGAGACCCCCUGCGGUGAUGAGCGGUGGGGGGUGGCACAGGCCAGGGGGUAGCGACUGUUUACCAAAAACACAGGAGCGUGCGAAGGCGCAAGCCGCUGUAUACGCUCUGACGCCUGCCCGGUGCCGGAAGGUUAAGAGGAUCCGUCAGCUUUCUGCGAAGCGGUGAAUUCAAGCCCCGGUAAACGGCGGUGGUAACGAUAACCAUCCUAAGGUAGCGAAAUUCCUUGUCGGGUAAGUUCCGACCUGCACGAAUGGCGUAACGACUUCCCCACUGUCUCGACCAGGAGCUCGGCGAAAUUGCAGUACGAGUAAAGAUGCUCGUUAAGCGCAGAAGGACGAAAAGACCCCGGGACCUUUACUAUACCUUGGUAUUGGCAUUAGGCGCGGAUUGUGUAGCAUAGGCGGGAGGCUUCGAGGCGGGUGCGCCAGCAUCCGCGGAGCCGCAAGGUGAAAUACCGCUCUGUUCUCGUUUGAUGUCUAACCUCGAACAGUCAUCCUGUUCAGGGACAGUGCCUGGCGGGUAGUUCAACUGGGGCGGUUGCCUCCCAAAGAGUAACGGAGGCGCUCAAAGGUCCGCUCGGCCCGGUUGGCAAUCGGGUGUCGAGUGUAAUCGCACAAGCGGGCUUGACUGCGAGAUCGACGGAUCAGGCAGGGACGAAAGUCGGAGAUAGUGAUCCGGUGCCGGCGCACGGGCGCGGCAUCGCUCAACGGAUAAAAGGUACCCCGGGGAUAACAGGCUGAUCAUUCCCAAGAGUCCAUAUCGACGGGAUGGUUUGGCACCUCGAUGUCGGCUCGUCGCAUCCUGGGGCUGGAGCAGGUCCCAAGGGUUCGGCUGUUCGCCGAUCAAAGCGGCACGCGAGCUGGGUUCAGAACGUCGUGAGACAGUUUGGUCUCUAUCCUCUGCGCUCGUUGGAAUCUUGAGGAGGCCUGCCCAUAGUACGAGAGGACCUGGGUGGACGAACCUCUGGUAUGCCGGUCGUCACGCCAGUGGCGCGGCCGGUUGGCUACGUUCGGAAGGGAUAACCGCUGAAAGCAUCUAAGCGGGAAGCCUUCUCCAAGAUAAGGAUUCCAUGCGGCCCCGAGCCGCUGAAGACCCCAUGCAGAACACGUGGUCGAUAGGCCGGACGUGGAAGCCCCGCGAGGGGUGGAGCCGACCGGUACUAAUGGUCGAGACG
rnacentral:rRNA from 1 species